rnacentral:rRNA from 1 species
UCCUGGCUCAGAGUGAACGCUGGCGGCGUGCUUAACACAUGCAAGUCGAACGAGAAACGGUCUAGCUUGCUAGAUGCAGUCUAAGUGGCGCACGGGUGAGUAAUAUAUAGGUAAUAUGCCUCUUACUAAGGGAUAACAGAUGGAAACGUCUGCUAAUACCUUAUAUGCCUUUAGGACUAAAGUCCGCAAGGGAAAGAUUUAUCGGUAAGAGAUUAGCCUGUACAGUAUCAGUUAGUUGGUGAGGUAAUGGCUCACCAAGACAAUGACGCUUAACUGGUUUGAGAGGAUGAUCAGUCACACUGGAACUGAGACACGGUCCAGACUCCUACGGGAGGCAGCAGUGGGGAAUAUUGCACAAUGGACGAAAGUCUGAUGCAGCAACGCCGCGUGGAGGAUGACACAUUUCGGUGCGUAAACUCCUUUUAUAUAGGAAGAUAAUGACGGUACUAUAUGAAUAAGCACCGGCUAACUCCGUG